rnacentral:rRNA from 1 species
UUAAUUGAAGAGUUUGAUCAUGGCUCAGAUUGAACGCUGGCGGCAGGCCUAACACAUGCAAGUCGGACGGUAACAGGAAGCAGCUUGCUGCUUYGCUGACGAGUGGCGGACGGGUGAGUAAUGUCUGGGAAACUGCCUGAUGGCGGGGGAUAACCACUGGAAACGGUGGCUAAUACCGCAUAACGUCGCAAGACCAAAGAGGGGGACCUUCGGGCCUCUUGCCAUCAGAUGUGCCCAGAUGGGAUUAGCCAGUUGGUGAGGUAACGGCUCACCAAAGCGACGAUCCCUAGCUGGUCUGAGAGGAUGACCAGCCACACUGGAACUGAGACACGGUCCAGACUCCUACGGGAGGCAGCAGUGGGGAAUAUUGCACAAUGGGCGCAAGCCUGAUGCAGCCAUGCCGCGUGUAUGAAGAAGGCCUUCGGGUUGUAAAGUACUUUCAGCGGGGAGGAAGGCAUUAAGGUUAAUAACCUUAGUG